rnacentral:rRNA from 1 species
UGACCUGCUCAGUGAAAUUUUAAAUAGCCGCGGUAUUUUAACUGUGCUAAGGUAGCAUAAUAAUUAGUCUUUUAAUUGUGGUCUGGAAUGAAUGGUUUGACGAGAAAUUAACUUUAUUAAAUUUAUUAUUUUUGAAUUUUAUUUUUUAGUUAAAAAUCUAAAUUGCUAAAGAGGGACGAUAAGACCCUUUAGAUCUUAAUAAUCUUAUAUAUUUUUUUUUUUUUGGUGUUUUUUUUUGAAUAUUUAAGUUUUUUUUGUUGGGGUGAUAACUAAAAUUUUAAACUUUAGUUUAUUUUUACAUUUAUUUAUGGGUUUUUGAUCCUAAUUUUUGGAUUAUAAGAUAAAGAUACCUUAGGGAUAACAGCGUUAUUUAAUUGGAUAGUUCUUAUUGAUAAUUGUGUUUGCGACCUCGAUGUUGGAUUAAAAUUUUACUGUGGGGUAGGUUUUACAGUUUUAGGG